rnacentral:rRNA from 1 species
AUGACUGGGGAGGUGAACAACUACUAUUUGCUUCCCGAAGAACCCAACCCCUUGCGCACCUUGCAUCAUAAGGAUAGCAUCACCAAGGUUAUGUUUCUUGCUGCCGUGGCUAAACCAAGAUACGGCGAAGGUGGUAAGGUCACGUUUAAUGGAAAGCUCGGAAUUUGGGCUUUUGUCACAGAGUCUCCUGCUCAAAGAACAAGUGACAAUAGAGAUAAAGGGACGCUCGAGCUCAAAUCAUUGAAAGUCACACGAGAUGUAAUGAGGUAUUACAUGUGUGAGAAACUUAUUCCUGCGAUCCAAGAGCGCUGGCCGGACGAAGAUGAAGGACGGACAAUCUAUAUCCAACAAGAUAAUGCCACACCACAUAUUCUUCCCAAUGACCAGGUUUUCCGACAAGUCGUAGAACAGACUGAUUUGGAUAUUAAGUUGCUUCAACAGCCUCCAAACAGUCCCGACAUGAACAUUCUUGAUCUCUGCAUAUUCAGGUCUCUCCAGUCCCACACCGAUAGCAGAGCACCUCAAAGCAUCAGGGAACUGAUAGAAGGUGUGGAGGAGGAAUAUCGAAACUACCCGGUUGAUAAGCUAGCUAGAAGCUUCGUGACGCUGCAGUCAUGCAUCUGA